UACAGAGGUCUCAAGCGUUGUUCGGAUUUAUUGGGCGUAAAGGGCGCGUAGGCGGCGGGGUAAGUCGGGUGUGAAAUCUCAGGGCUCAACCCUGAAACUGCACUUGAUACUGCUCUGCUUGAGGACUGGAGAGGAGACUGGAAUUCACGGUGUAGCAGUGAAAUGCGUAGAUAUCGUGAGGAAGACCAGUGGCGAAGGCGGGUUUCUGGACAGUUCCUGACGCUGAGGCACGAAGGCCAGGGGAGCAAACGGG
rnacentral:rRNA from 1 species